rnacentral:rRNA from 1 species
AUUGAACGCUGGCGGUAUGCUUAACACAUGCAAGUCGAACGGUAACAGGCCUUCGGGCGCUGACGAGUGGCGGACGGUGAGUAACGCGUAGGAAUCUGCCUCAUAGUGGGGGACAACGUGGGGAAACUCACGCUAAUACCGCAUACGCCCUACGGGGGAAAGCGGGGGAUCUUCGGACCUCGCGCUAUGAGAUGAGCCUGCGUUAGAUUAGCUAGUUGGUAGGGUAAAGGCCUACCAAGGCGACGAUCUAUAGCUGGUCUGAGAGGACGAUCAGCCACACUGGGACUGAGACACGGCCCAGACUCCUACGGGAGGCAGCAGUGGGGAAUAUUGGACAAUGGGCGCAAGCCUGAUCCAGCAAUACCGCGUGUGUGAAGAAGGCCUUAGGGUGUAAAGCACUUUUGUCCGGAAAGAAAUCGCGCUGGUUAAUACCUGGCGUGGAUGACGGUACCGGAAGAAUAAGCACCGGCUAACUACGUGCCAGCAGCCACGGUAAU